rnacentral:rRNA from 1 species
AUUGAACGCUGGCGGCAGGCCUAACACAUGCAGGUCGAACGGUAACAGGAAGAAGCUUGCUUCUUUGCUGACGAGUGGCGGACGGGUGAGUAAUGUCUGGGAAACUGCCUGAUGGAGGGGGAUAACUACUGGAAACGGUAGCUAAUACCGCAUAACGUCGCAAGACCAAAGAGGGGGACCUUCGGGCCUCUUGCCAUCGGAUGUGCCCAGAUGGGAUUAGCUAGUAGGUGGGGUAACGGCUCACCUAGGCGACGAUCCCUAGCUGGUCUGAGAGGAUGACCAGCCACACUGGAACUGAGACACGGUCCAGACUCCUACGGGAGGCAGCAGUGGGGAAUAUUGCACAAUGGGCGCAAGCCUGAUGCAGCCAUGCCGCGUGUAUGAAGAAGGCCUUCGGGUUGUAAAGUACUUUCAGCGGGGAGGAAGGGAGUAAAGUUAAUACCCUUGCUCAUUGACGUUACCCGCAGAAGAAGCACCGGCUAACUCCGUG